GACGAACGCUGGCGGCGUGCUUAACACAUGCAAGUCGAACGGAAAGGCCCUGCUUUUGUGGGGUGCUCGAGUGGCGAACGGGUGAGUAACACGUGAGUAACCUGCCCUUGACUUUGGGAUAACUUCAGGAAACUGGGGCAAUACCGGCAAGGAGCCCCUUCUGGAAUGCGGGGGUUGGUUAGGUUCGGCGGUUGGGGAUGGACUCGCGGCUUAUCAGCUUGUUGGUGGGGUAGUGGCUUACCAAGGCUUUGACGGGUAGCCGGCCUGAGAGGGUGACCGGCCACAUUGGGACUGAGAUACGGCCCAGACUCCUACGGGAGGCAGCAGUGGGGAAUAUUGCACAAUGGGCGGAAGCCUGAUGCAGCAACGCCGCGUGCGGGAUGACGGCCUUCGGGUUGUAAACCGCUUUCGCCUGUGACGAAGCGUGAGUGACGGUAAUGGGUAAAGAAGCACCGGCUAACUACGUG
rnacentral:rRNA from 1 species